rnacentral:rRNA from 1 species
AGACCCGAAACCCGGUGAUCUAGCCAUGGGCAGGUUGAAGGUUGGGUAACACUAACUGGAGGACCGAACCGACUAAUGUUGAAAAAUUAGCGGAUGACCUGUGGCUGGGGGUGAAAGGCCAAUCAAACCGGGAGAUAGCUGGUUCUCCCCGAAAGCUAUUUAGGUAGCGCCUCGUGAAUUCAUCUCCGGGGGUAGAGCACUGUUUCGGCUAGGGGGCCAUCCCGGCUUACCAACCCGAUGCAAACUGCGAAUACCGGAGAAUGUUAUCACGGGAGACACACGGCGGGUGCUAACGUCCGUCGUGAAGAGGGAAACAACCCAGACCGCCAGCUAAGGUCCCAAAGUCAUGGUUAAGUGGGAAACGAUGUGGGAAGGCCCAGACAGCCAGGAUGUUGGCUUAGAAGCAGCCAUCAUUUAAAGAAAGCGUAAUAGCUCACUGGUCGAGUCGGCCUGCGCGGAAGAUGUAACGGGGCUAAACCAUGCACCGAAGCUGCGGCAGCGAACGUAUCACCCAAGACAACUUUACGGAGUUGACGAUUGACGGAGCGAAGCGACGUCAAAGCGUUCAUUAAAGUCGAGUUGGCUUAGGGAUACGUUCGUUGGGUAGGGGAGCGUUCUGUAAGCCCGUGAAGGUGGCCUGUGAGGGUUGCUGGAGGUAUCAGAAGUGCGAAUGCUGACAUAAGUAACGAUAAAGCGGGUGAAAAGCCCGCUCGCCGGAAGACCAAGGGUUCCUGUCCAACGUUAAUCGGGGCAGGGUGAGUCGACCCCUAAGGCGAGGCCGAAAGGCGUAGUCGAUGGGAAACGGGUUAAUAUUCCCGUACUUGGUGUUACUGCGAAGGGGGGACGGAGAAGGCUAUGUUGGCCGGGCGACGGUUGUCCCGGUUUAAGCGUGUAGGUGUGUGUUCCAGGUAAAUCCGGUUCACUUUAACACUGAGGCGUGACGACGAGGCACUACGGUGCUGAAGCAACAAAUGCCCUGCUUCCAGGAAAAGCCUCUAAGCAUCAGGUAACACGAAAUCGUACCCCAAACCGACACAGGUGGUCAGGUAGAGAAUACCAAGGCGCUUGAGAGAACUCGGGUGAAGGAACUAGGCAAAAUGGUGCCGUAACUUCGGGAGAAGGCACGCUGACACGUAGGUGAAGUGAUUUACUCAUGGAGCUGAAGUCAGUCGAAGAUACCAGCUGGCUGCAACUGUUUAUUAAAAACACAGCACUGUGCAAACACGAAAGUGGACGUAUACGGUGUGACGCCUGCCCGGUGCCGGAAGGUUAAUUGAUGGGGUCAGCGUAAGCGAAGCUCCUGAUCGAAGCCCCGGUAAACGGCGGCCGUAACUAUAACGGUCCUAAGGUAGCGAAAUUCCUUGUCGGGUAAGUUCCGACCUGCACGAAUGGCGUAAUGAUGGCCAGGCUGUCUCCACCCGAGACUCAGUGAAAUUGAACUCGCUGUGAAGAUGCAGUGUACCCGCGGCAAGACGGAAAGACCCCGUGAACCUUUACUAUAGCUUGACACUGAACAUUGAGCCUUGAUGUGUAGGAUAGGUGGGAGGCUUUGAAGUGUGGACGCCAGUCUGCAUGGAGCCGACCUUGAAAUACCACCCUUUAAUGUUUGAUGUUCUAACGUGGACCCGUAAUCCGGGUUGCGGACAGUGUCUGGUGGGUAGUUUGACUGGGGCGGUCUCCUCCUAAAGAGUAACGGAGGAGCACGAAGGUUGGCUAAUCCUGGUCGGACAUCAGGAGGUUAGUGCAAUGGCAUAAGCCAGCUUGACUGCGAGCGUGACGGCGCGAGCAGGUGCGAAAGCAGGUCAUAGUGAUCCGGUGGUUCUGAAUGGAAGGGCCAUCGCUCAACGGAUAAAAGGUACUCCGGGGAUAACAGGCUGAUACCGCCCAAGAGUUCAUAUCGACGGCGGUGUUUGGCACCUCGAUGUCGGCUCAUCACAUCCUGGGGCUGAAGUAGGUCCCAAGGGUAUGGCUGUUCGCCAUUUAAAGUGGUACGCGAGCUGGGUUUAGAACGUCGUGAGACAGUUCGGUCCCUAUCUGCCGUGGGCGCUGGAGAACUGAGGGGGGCUGCUCCUAGUACGAGAGGACCGGAGUGGACGCAUCACUGGUGUUCGGGUUGUCAUGCCAAUGGCACUGCCCGGUAGCUAAAUGCGGAAGAGAUAAGUGCUGAAAGCAUCUAAGCACGAAACUUGCCCCGAGAUGA